rnacentral:rRNA from 1 species
UACGAAGGGGGGCUAGCGUUGCUCGGAAUCACUGGGCGUAAAGGGUGCGUAGGCGGGUUUUUAAGUCAGGGGUGAAAUCCUGGAGCUCAACUCCAGAACUGCCUUUGAUACUGAAGAUCUUGAGUCCGGGAGAGGUGAGUGGAACUGCGAGUGUAGAGGUGAAAUUCGUAGAUAUUCGCAAGAACACCAGUGGCGAAGGCGGCUCACUGGCCCGGUACUGACGCUGAGGCACGAAAGCGUGGGGGAGCAAACAGG